UAUUAAAAAUAUUAUCUAUUUGUACUGUAAAAAUUGGCAUAACUGAUAGAAUAACUAAAGAGUAACACAUAGUGUGCCAUGUGUGUACCUUAUAUUGAUGUAUAAUGUCCAGUUUUUAAUAGUAAAAAUAUAUGAGGUUUUUAAUA
rfam:Gossypium raimondii Chr13_contig_23, whole genome shotgun sequence.